CCACAUAGUUAUACAUGUUUGUCAAUGCCCGAUCUUGGAGGCUAAGCUGAGCAGGGUUGGUCCUGGUCAGUAUUUGGAUGAGAGUCCACCAGGAACACCAGGUGCCACAGUGGGGC
rnacentral:rRNA from 1 species